rnacentral:rRNA from 1 species
GACGAACCGUGCGAACGUUGUUCGGAAUCACUGGGCUUAAAGGGCGCGUAGGCGGCUCAUCAAGUCGGGGGUGAAAUCUUUCGGCCUAACCGGAAAAGUGCCUUCGAUACUGAUGAGCUUGAGCGAGGUAGGGGCAGAUGGAACUUCCGGUGGAGCGGUGAAAUGUGUUGAUAUCGGAAGGAACGCCGGUGGCGAAAGCGAUCUGCUGGACCUCUUCUGACGCUGAGGCGCGACAGCGUGGGGAGCAAACAGG